GCCGGCAUAGCUCAGUGGUAGAGCAGUCGAUUUGUAAUCGGAGGGCCGUGGGUUCAAGUCCUACUGCCGGCACCA
rnacentral:tRNA from 1 species